UGCAGAAUCCCGCGAAUCAUCGAGUCUUUGAACGCAAGUUGCGCCCGAAGCCAUUAGGCCGAGGGCACGUCUGCCUGGGCGUCA
rnacentral:rRNA from 1 species